rnacentral:rRNA from 1 species
ACUCCUGCGGGAGGCAGCAGUGGGGAAUUUUGGACAAUGGGCGAAAGCCUGAUCCAGCAAUGCCGCGUGAGUGAAGAAGGCCUUCGGGUUGUAAAGCUCUUUUGUCAGGGAAGAAACGGUGAAAGCUAAUAUCUUUUGCUAAUGACGGUACCUGAAGAAUAAGCACCGGCUAACUACGUGCCAGCAGCCGCGGUAAUACGUAGGGUGCAAGCGUUAAUCGGAAUUACUGGGCGUAAAGCGUGCGCAGGCGGUUUUGUAAGUCUGAUGUGAAAUCCCCGGGCUCAACCUGGGAAUUGCAUUGGAGACUGCAAGGCUAGAAUCUGGCAGAGGGGGGUAGAAUUCCACGUGGAGCAGUGAAAUGCGUAGAUAUGUGGAGGAACACCGAUGGCGAAGGCAGCCCCCUGGGUCAAGAUUGACGCUCAUGCACGAAAGCGUGGGGAGCAAACAGGAUUAGAAACCCUAGUAGUCCC